CUUAGAAGAAGCAAAAUGACGACUCGGACAACAAUAAUACAAAACUAAUACUUAUUGUUGUCGGAGUCGUCAUUUUGCAUCUUCUAAG